UACGGAGGAUGCAAGCGUUAUCCGGAAUUAUUGGGCGUAAAGCGUCCGCAGGUGGUUAUCCAAGUCUGCUGUUAAAGCGCGAGGCUUAACUUUGUACAGGCAGUGGAAACUGGGUGACUGGAGUAUGGUAGGGGUAGCGGGAAUUCCCAGUGUAGCGGUGAAAUGCGUAGAUAUUGGGAAGAACACCAGCGGCGAAAGCGCGCUACUGGGCCAUUACUGACACUCAUGGACGAAAGCUAGGGGAGCGAAAGGG
rnacentral:rRNA from 1 species